GUCUCUCUCUUUCUCCUCUGCUUCCCCUCACCCCACAACCAAAGUCAAGAGCGCAGACCCCAUGAUCACCUGAUACUUCCAAGCAAGCAGGUGUUCUUUUCAGAAGCCAGAAGCUGAUAACCUGGGCUUUCUGAUCUAACCCCAGCCCAAAUUCAUUGCAAUGGAGGAAUUGGGGAGGAGAUUCUUCCUACUGAGAAGUGGGUGCCAACUCUCCCUUUCAAAUUUGUUCAUCAACAAACUAAAGGGGAUGCCAGAAAUGUCUGGAGCAAUGGAAGAACCACUGGAAUAAUGCUCCUGCCUGAUUGUAUCUACUUAACCCACUCUCCAAGAGCCAGAAUCAGAUUUCAACCGUAUGGAAUCAUCUACAAUGCAGCAGAUGGGUUUACAAGUCUCUUGGUCUCUUCAUAAGGCGCAGCAAUCGUGUCCCAAGUCCUUGAGGACUUCACAGGGUGUUCUAGUGUCCUGAGAAUAUACCUGCCUAAGAUCUCACUGAUAUAAAGUGGAUGAAAGGGAGUGCAAAUACAGGUUCCUUUUUCUCCAAAUUCCAUACUCUCUACCAGUGCUCUGGGACUGGUGAAGAAUUCUGGGCCACUAUCUCUGCAGUGUUACACAAGCAAGUGGCAGGAGAGGUGCCUCCACAAUGCAGCGCGCAGCUCCUCCUGGGCGUCAUUAGCAUGCAGCCUACGUUCUUCAAGAUGGCGCCCAGUUCAGCCUGUCAGCGAGUGAUCUAUGAUGUGUCACUUGUGCUAUUAACAGGCGUUUUCAAUUUCAGCAGCCUCAGCACAUUUAGUUCCUCUCCCAUGUGAUCACUGCUCUGUCCUCCAUUAAUAACCACUUUCAAACCCUUCUAGCACCCACCUGGGCAGUUCCCUCUCAUGCCUUCCUCACAGGGUAGGGCUGGACUCUUUGCCCAUGGGAGAUGAUUGGGAAUAAUCUCUGUCCUGUGGGGUGAGCUGAACAAGGGGCAACUGCUCUACACAUGUGGACCAUCAAUAUAUCUCUAUUAAUGAGUGAAUUAAUUAAAGACAGACACAAAAAAUGACUUUCUCGUUGGUGGAGAUUGUCUGUUGCUGAGAAAGGUGAUGUCAGCUCUCUGGAUGAGGCUGAGGAAGGAGAAAAGGAUGAAGAUGGAACAAGCCCUGCCUUGUCAAUGCUUAUGCUUAGAAAGACUGGGGAGACUUGCAUGACUAUGCAGUGAAGGGUCCCCAAAGGGGGCUUAAUCUGCCGACCCAUGAAGGAUAUCAAGCAUGACUGGGCCUGUUGUAACAUUUCAGAGAAUGUCAGCCAAUAAUAAUAAAA
rnacentral:lncRNA from 1 species